rnacentral:snRNA from 1 species
AGAUGUGAGGGCAGUCUGGCUGUGACAUCUGUUACCCCAUUGAUUGCCAGGGUUGAUUCGGCUGAUCUGGCUGGCUAGGCAGGUGUCCCCUUCCUCCCUCACUGUUCCAUGUGCAUCCCUCCCGAAGCUGUGUGCUCAUUGGAAGAGGACGACCUUCCCCGCUAGAGGAGGACCGGUCUUCAGGUUCGGUUAAGGGUAUGCAAGUAGCUGCACUCCCCUGCUAGAACUUCCAAAAACAAGCUCUCAAAAACGCUUUUUCAUUUACAAAAUGCUUUAGCAUAUAUGU